AACUCUGGUUUCCACUCAAAUCGUAUAAUCUUUCGCCUUUUACUAAGAUUUCCCGUGGGGGAGGACAAAUGAAGAUGUACAUUAAUUUUUUUAAGGGCCCUCAUCAUGGCCU